rnacentral:rRNA from 1 species
UACGGAAGGGGCGAGCGUUGUUCGGAAUCAUUGGGCGUAAAGGGCGCGUAGGUGGUUCUGUAUGUCUACCGUGAAAGCGUACGGCUCAACCGUAUUUUGUCGGUAGAAACUGCAGGACUUGAGGCUGGGAGGGGCUGGUGGAAUUCCCUGUGUAGCGGUGAAAUGCGUAGAUAUCAGGAGGAAUACCGGUGGCGAAAGCGACUCUCUGGACGGCAACUGACGCUGAGGCACGAAAGCGUGGGGAGCAAACAGG